UAAAAGCUCCUCUCCCCUCUCCUCCCCUACACAAAUAAAGAGAAGAAGAAAAAACUUUUUUUUUUUUUGCAAAUCAGACUUCUUAUGAAAGAAAUGAUUCUUACUUCCUUAGUGCUCUGAAGGCUAACUGAAGUGCGAGAAACCAGAGAACAGAGAUCUGGGAUUUAUAUACGGGAUGCAUAUAAUUUGCACUUGCUUAUGCAACCUGUCCUGCUUUUUGGUCAGUUAAGGUGAUUGUUCAAUUGGUCUGUUACUCUUCUUCCAGUCCCUUUAAUGUCGUUGGUCCAAGUGCCUGCCUCAGAACUAUGCAGCAGUCAGGAAGCAAUGAGGCCAACAGGGGAAAGGAACGUUGAAAGAAACAGAAAUAUUAAGCAGACAACAGUUUAGAGGAUGUAGAUCACCAUCAGAGGGUGUCAGUACAAAAUGUUCUUCUAGAAAAAAAAUCACUUUUGUUUGUUUUUGUGAUUGCACCAGUAAAGGAACCAGCCAAGAGACCCACAGUGCUGCCCCUGGUCUAUAGAGAGAACUGGGGGUGCAUUCAUUCUCCAGUGGGAAGAGAGCUUGUUUGGGUUACUGAAGCAGCAGCAUAGAACUGAGGAGUGACAUAAUUCCUUCUUGGAAGAGUCUGGCUGGAUUUUGUGCCAUUUUCGGAAAGUGAGGGUGAUGCACCAAGAAUGACAGACUGCUCGGAAAGAGAACUAUGUGGAAACCUCCUAACCCCCUUGAAUCUCCUCCAAGGAGAAACCAGAGGGCAAAAGACAGUCUAAGCAUUAAUGUGCACGUUCCUGCUAACAAUCAUGAUAUGGAGAACGUUCUGUGCAUGGACUACAAGCCACAACUCCAGGCAGUGGUCCCGAUGGUGCUGCUUCACUUACCUGCGUGGCAGAGUGGAGAUGAGGCAAAGAAGGGCCACAGCUGGCUGUGAUAGUCAGGUCGCAAGGGUGAAAAAACAUCCUUUGUGAUCUUGCUAUGGAAAGAUCCCCUGCAACUUUGGAGAAGAAAGAAGACAUUUCCUGUGUACUUGUUAUUUGCUUGUCACUGUGCCUGACUCCUUCACAAGUGUUCUCUCAUUUGCUAUCUAUAUAACUGCUUAACUCAGUUUAUAAAUAAGUAAAGCUGAAGGUCAAGGGAGGUUCAGUUAUUUGCCUGAAGUUACACAAGUGGUGAUGCUCACAUGUUUGACAUUUAUUGAGCACUUACUAUGUGCCAGGUAUCACCACAAGGAUUUUCCAUGUUUUCAUUCAAUUAAGUGACAGAGGCUGCUCUCAAAUCUGAUCACUUGAUCUCUGACUGCCACCCGCCAUUUGUAGAUGAUGUGACUGAGACUUGAGUUGGUGACAUGCCCAAGGUCAUAAAGCCACUUACCACCAGAGCUAGGCUAGGACCAGGGACCCUAUCACUGCAAUUUCCAUUUAAUAACUUUUUUGCUAUCCUGACCUUAAGAAAAGAAGCACAAUCAUACUUAACUGGGAAAUCAACUUUUUAAAAAAUGGGAAUAGCAACUUCAAAGGAGAGACAUUUAGUGAACUCUGAAUCUGUUUCAUGAUGUGAUAACUACCAGAGCCAUCGAGGCCAAGCAUAUAAAGGAACAAACUGAUCACCUUCCUGGAUGUAAUUUCAGCUCUCAAAUGGUGUUUGCCACAUGUCUUUGUAAAUACACUGGUCUUAAUUUUGUGGGUAAUGAAGUGAUAACCAUAUGGGUGAAUCAUAUAUUAUUCUUAUUUGCAUGACAAGGCAUUUUUUUAUGGCUACCAUGGGCAUGUCUGACUGUGGGGAGCCACCAUAUCACAAGAGAAUAAUAAAGCUGAGGCAUGAAGUCCUUGUCUGGGAUGAGCUGGAAACAUUUUUCUGGUCUGUCUCAUGAUUAAUUAUUUUCAGUUUUGAGUAGAUGCCCUGGACUCUGGGACCAAGGCCAUGCCUCAGGUUGAGCUAUGCUACUCGCCCAGUCUGCCUUUCCUUGCUCCAUUCUCGCUUCUCCUAGGUUCAGGGUGGUAACACCGGGCUUUCAUUUUAUCAUGCCUUCCUGAUAUCAGAGCUAAACAUAGCACCUACAGAAACCUCAACACUUUUCUUCCAGUUUCCUGCUGGAGUCAAGAAGAAUUCAGAUUUAGAGUCAAUCCAUGAUAUGCCACCAAAGAAUUAAACAGAGGAAUUGGUAACAUGAAGAUAAAGAUGUCUCUUUCCUCCCUUAGGUUUAACUUUGUUUAAGUGAUCAUAAAAGGGGAACUUACUGUGAGCACCUCACUGCCAUUAUAUCCAGACACUCAACUGCUUUUACAACCAGCUUGCAAAAUGAAUUAAACCAGUAUUAUGUAUUGGCUUCCAGCAUGAAAAAAUGAAUCUGUCUGUUUCUAAGGUGGUUAUUGCAGUGUUUUGGAAGGGGUGUCACUCCGAAAUAUCUUUUCUGUGCUUUGAAGCAUAUUAUUGUCCUUCUUUCAGAGAAAUCAAACAUGCAUGUUUUUGAUUCGAUACACAUAUGCACACACACAUUCACACACAAAACAUGUUUUAUUAGUUAGCCCCUCUUCUCUCCCCCAGCACACUAAGGGGACAUAUGGGCAGUAAAAUGUCAUCCACACAAUUCAGCAACAUUCACUAUGGGCUUCUAUCAAUAUUUACUACCAAUGGGCCCCGGGGCUUCUUGCAAGACUACUCUGGCCUCUAUUCAAAAUCUUUGCCUUCUGACUCUGAUUCCAACACUAUUCAAUUUCCUUACCGUGGAAAAAGAUUUCCACGAAAUUUCCCCUCCAUAAACCUGGAAUUGUAAUAAAUAAAUGUUUCCUUUUCACCACCUCCGACCCCAAGGACCUUCUGGUAUCUGGGAGGAGUUGGUAGUAAUUCAUGAGAGACCUUGUCCUAGGAUUAUCUCUCAUAGGUGUGCUGAAGUUCAGGUCAUUUGGUUUUUCUGCUCUAUUUGAGAAUUUAUUCCCUUGGAUCAAAGCCUGGAUUUGACCUCUCAGAGGUUUACAUUUCUAUCCUUUGACAUAGCGCCUGGAUUGGAAACAUUCUAUCUCUGCAUUUUGUCAAAAAUCAAUUACUACUUUUUUUGUAGUCAGUUUUGAUAGUGUUCAUCCUAUGUUUCAUUUAAGUUUAUGUCACCUCUAUGACCAGGGCAAUCUCUGAAGUAAGACCAGAUAUUUGCUCUUCUAAUUUCUGCCCCUGCAUUGGUGGUAGGGGUGGGCAGUUAAAAAGAGACAAAAUGACUGACCCCCCCUCCCCAAAGUCCUUCUUAUGACCAA